CGAGACGACGCUGGCGGCGUGCCUAAUACAUGCAAGUCGAGCGAAGUUUUUCUGGUGCUUGCACUAGAAAACUUAGCGGCGAACGGGUGAGUAACACGUAAAGAACCUGCCUCAUAGACUGGGACAACUAUUGGAAACGAUAGCUAAUACCGGAUAACAGUAUUUCUCGCAUGAAAGAUCUUAAAAGUUGGUUAUGCUAACACUAUGAGAUGGCUUUGCGGUGCAUUAGCUAGUUGGUGGGGUAAAGGCCUACCAAGGCGACGAUGCAUAGCCGACCUGAGAGGGUGAUCGGCCACACUGGGACUGAGACACGGCCCAGACUCCUACGGGAGGCAGCAGUAGGGAAUCUUCCGCAAUGGGCGAAAGCCUGACGGAGCAACGCCGCGUGAGCGAAGAAGGAUUUCGGUUCGUAAAGCUCUGUUGUUAGGGAAGAAUGGAUAUGUAGUAACUAUACAUAUAAGAGACGGUACCUAACCAGAAAGCCACGGCUAACUACGUG
rnacentral:rRNA from 1 species